rnacentral:misc_RNA from 1 species
AUCAUAUAGAAUCAAUAAAUGAGGCAAGUUUCUUAAAAAUUCAGAGACAAAAAAUUAGGAAAAAACAUUUAUUCCAUUCUAUAUCUUAUAUCUAUAAUUUUUUUUGCUAGUUUUAAUUUAUUAGAAGUUGACAAACUGGAUGGGAUGUUCUCUCUUUUCCAUCACUCCAACACGUAUAGAAAAAUAUUAAGAUGUUUCUUUUCUUACAACAUUCUCAAACUAAUCUUUUUAUAUAUGGAAAUGGUUGAUUCCAAUGUUUGGAGUUGAGAAGAAUAGUUAAAGAGGUUUUUCAAACCAGAUUUUAUUUUAAUAUUCAUUAUUUUGAAAUAUCUUGAUUUAUUUUCAGAUAAAAAGUUUCAUAAAGUGG